rnacentral:rRNA from 1 species
GACGAACGCUGGCGGCGUGCUUAACACAUGCAAGUCGAACGAAGGGCGAUGGAAGCUUGCUUCUAUCAAUCUUAGUGGCGAACGGGUGAGUAACGCGUAAUCAACCUGCCCUUCAGAGGGGGACAACAGUUGGAAACGACUGCUAAUACCGCAUACGAUCUGACCUCGGCAUCGAGGAUAGAUGAAAGGUGGCCUCUAUUUAUAAGCUAUCACUGAAGGAGGGGAUUGCGUCUGAUAAGCUAGUUGGAGGGGUAACGGCCCACCAAGGCGAUGAUCAGUAGCCGGUCUGAGAGGAUGAACGGCCACAUUGGGAGUGAGACACGGCCCAGACUCCUACGGGAGGCAGCAGUGGGGAAUCUUCCGCAAUGGACGAAAGUCUGACGGAGCAACGCCGCGUGAGUGAUGACGGCCUUCGGGUUGUAAGGCU